AAUACAUGCAAGUCGAGCGAGCUGAAUUCAAAGAUUCCUUCGGGAUGAUUUGUUGGAUGCUAGCGGCGGAUGGGUGAGUAACACGUGGGCAAUCUGCCCUAAAGACUGGGAUACCACUUGGAAACAGGUGCUAAUACCGGAUAACAACAUGAAUCGCAUGAUUCAAGUUUGAAAGGCGGCGUAAGCUGUCACUUUAGGAUGAGCCCGCGGCGCAUUAGCUAGUUGGUGGGGUAAAGGCCUACCAAGGCAAUGAUGCGUAGCCGAGAUGAGAGACUGAUCGGCCACAUAGGGACUGAGACACGGCCCAAACUCCUACGGGAGGCAGCAGUAGGGAAUCUUCCACAAUGGACGCAAGUCUGAUGGAGCAACGCCGCGUGAGUGAAGAAGGUUUUCGGAUCGUAAAGCUCUGUUGUUGGUGAAGAAGGAUAGAGGCAGUAACUGGUCUUUAUUUGACGGUAAUCAACCAGAAAGUCACGGCUAACUACGUGCCAGCAGCCGCGGUAAUACGUAGGUGGCAAGCGUUGUCCGGAUUUAUUGGGCGUAAAGCGAGCGCAGGCGGAAUGAUAAGUCUGAUGUGAAAGCCCACGGCUCAACCGUGGAACUGCAUCGGAAACUGUCAUUCUUGAGUGCAGAAGAGGAGAGUGGAAUUCCAUGUGUAGCGGUGGAAUGCGUAGAUAUAUGGAAGAACACCAGUGGCGAAGGCGGCUCUCUGGUCUGCAACUGACGCUGAGGCUCGAAAGCAUGGGUAGCGAACAGGAUUAGAUACCCUGGUAGUCCAUGCCGUAAACGAUGAGCGCUAGGUGUUGGGGACUUUCCGGUCCUCAGUGCCGCAGCAAACGCAUUAAGCG
rnacentral:rRNA from 1 species